rnacentral:lncRNA from 1 species
UUUGUUGCGGUAGAAAUCCGUCCUUGGGUCGGAUUGGCUAGAGUCGGACGGUGACAGCAAAAUUGUGACAGCAAGACCUGCAAUAAAAGUCUUCAACUAGAUUUGGCUCCAGUGAAAAUUCUCUGACGCUCGAGUUAGAUUUCUAGAGAACAUAUGGAAAGGAAUGAGCAUGUUGGAAAAGAAAUUUUUCAUACUUUGGGGGUCCCCCAUGGGCCUUUAUUUAUAGGCAGAGAUUAAAGAGCCGUGAGAGGAAAGAAGAAUCAAAUGGUUAGUCUUACUUUAUCUAACGAGAUUCGACCAUUAUCCUUUCCUUAUUUGAAGAGAUUUGUUUAUUUAUUUAUUUCUUAUCCACUCAUCAUCAUUUAUUUUCAAUGGUCAC